UACGGGGGGAGCAAGCGUUGUUCGGAUUUACUGGGCGUAAAGGGCGCGUAGGCGGCCAGCACACGUCAGUUGUGAAAUCUCCGAGCUUAACUCGGAAAGGUCAACUGAUACUGUGCGGCUAGAGUGCAGAAGGGGCAACUGGAAUUCUUGGUGUAGCGGUGAAAUGCGUAGAUAUCAAGAGGAACACCUGCGGCGAAGGCGGGUUGCUGGGCUGACACUGACGCUGAGGCGCGAAAGCUAGGGGAGCGAAUGGG
rnacentral:rRNA from 1 species